GAUGAAGAACGCAGCGAAAUGCGAUAAGUAAUGUGAAUUGCAGAAUUCAGUGAAUCAUCGAAUCUUUGAACGCACAUUGCGCCACUUGGUAUUCCGAGGGGCAUGCCUGUUCGAGCGUCAUUAUAACCCCUCAAGCUCAGCUUGGUGUUGGGGCCUGCCGCACGGGCAGCCCUUAAAAUCAGUGGCGGUGCCAUCUGGCUCUAAGCGUAGUAAUUCUUCUCGCUAUAGAGUCCCGGUGGAUGCUUGCCAUUAACCCCCAAUUUUCUAUGGUUGACCUCGGAUCAGGUAGGGAUACCCGCUGAACUUAAGCAUAUCAAUAAGCGGAGGA
rnacentral:misc_RNA from 1 species